UUAGACUUUGGGUAGAGGUAACAGAGGAGAAGGUAGAGGUAUGUUUAGACUUGGGGCAGAGGUAACAGAGGAGAUGUUAGAGGAAUAUUUAGACUUGGGGCAGAGGUAACAGAGGAGAUGAUAGAGGAAUAUUUAGACUUGGGGCAGAGGUAACAGAGGAAAAGGUAGAGGAAUAUUUUGACUUGGGGCAGAGGUAACAGAGGAGAUGAUAGAGGAAUAUUUAGACUUGGGGUAGAGGUAACAGAAGAGAUGGUAGAGGAAUGUUUAGACUUGAGGUAGAGGUAACAGAGGAGAUGGUAGAGGAAUAUUUAGACUUAGGGUAGAGGUGACAGGAGAUGUUAGAGGAAUAUUUAGACUUUGGGUAGAGGUAACAGAGGAGAAGGUAGAGGAAUAUUUAGACUUGGGGCAGAGGUAACAGAGGAGAAGGUAGAGGAAUGUUUAGACUUGGGGCAGAGGUAACAGAGGAGAUGAUAGAGGAAUAUUUAGACUUGGGGCAGAGGUAACAGAGGAGAAGGUAGAGGAAUAUUUAGACUUGGGGUAGAGGUAACAGGAGAUGGUUGAGGAAUAUUUAGACUUGAGGUAGAGGUAACAGAGGAGAAGGUAGAGGAAUAUCUAGACUUGGGGUAGAGGUAACAAGGUGGGUGGUAGAAAAAAAUUUAGACUAGGGGUAGAGAUAACUGGGUGGAUGGUAAAGGAAUAUUUAGACAUGGUAUAAAGGUAGUAGAGGAGAUGGUAGAGGAAUAUUUAGAUAUGGUGUAGAGGUAGUAGAGGAGAUGGUAGAGGAAUAUUUAGACAUGGUGUAGAGGUAGUAGAAGAGAUGGUAGA